UGGGGAAUAUUGCGCAAUGGGGGCAACCCUGACGCAGCAACGCCGCGUGCGGGACGACGGCCUUCGGGUUGUAAACCGCUUUCAGCAGGGAAGAUAGUGACGGUACCUGCACAAGAAGCCCCGGCUAACUACGUGCCAGCAGCCGCGGUAAUACGUAGGGGGCGAGCGUUAUCCGGAUUCAUUGGGCGUAAAGCGCGCGCAGGUGGUUUAGAAAGUCUGAUGUGAAAGCCCACGGCUCAACCGUGGAGGGUCAUUGGAAACUAAUAAACUUGAGUGCAGGAGAGAAAAGUGGAAUUCCUAGUGUAGCGGUGAAAUGCGUAGAGAUUAGGAGGAACACCGGUGGCGAAAGCGGCUUUUUGGCCUGCAACUGACACUGAGGCGCGAAAGCGUGGGGAGCAAACAGG
rnacentral:rRNA from 1 species